rnacentral:rRNA from 1 species
AACGAACGCUGGCGGCAGGCCUAACACAUGCAAGUCGAACGAACCGUUUACGGUGAGUGGCGCACGGGUGAGUAACACGUGGGAAUAUACAUUUCGGUAAGGAAUAACGUAGAGAAAUUUACGCUAAUACCUUAUAAUGACUACGGUCCAAAGAUUUAUCGCCGAAGGAUUAGCCCGCGGUAGAUUAGGUAGUUGGUAGGGUAAUGGACUACCAAGCCUACGAUCUAUAGCUGGUCUUAGAGGAUGAUCAGCCACACUGGAACUGAGACACGGUCCAGACUCCUACGGGAGGCAGCAGUGAGGAAUAUUGCGCAAUGGGGGAAACCCUGACGCAACCAUGCCGCGUGAGUGACGAAGGCCUUAGGGUUGUAAAGCUCUUUCAGAUGUAAAGAUAAUGACGGUAACAUCAGAAGAAGCUCCGGCUAAAUUCGUGCCAGCCGCCGCGGUAA